UACAGAGGUCCCAAGCGUUGUUCGGAUUCACUGGGCGUAAAGGGUGCGUAGGUGGUGAGGUAAGUCGGAUGUGAAAUCUCCGAGCUCAACUCGGAAAUGGCAUUGGAAACUACCUUGCUGGAGGGUUGGAGGGGGGACUGGAAUACUUGGUGUAGCAGUGAAAUGCGUAGAUAUCAAGUGGAACACCAGUGGCGAAGGCGAGUCCCUGGACAACUCCUGACACUGAGGCACGAAAGCUAGGGGAGCAAACAGG
rnacentral:rRNA from 1 species